UACGAAGGGUGCAAGCGUUACUCGGAAUUACUGGGCGUAAAGCGUGCGUAGGUGGUUUGUUAAGUCUGUUGUGAAAGCCCCGGGCUCAACCUGGGAAUGGCAAUGGAUACUGGCAGGCUAGAGUGCGGUAGAGGGUAGUGGAAUUCCCGGUGUAGCGGUGAAAUACGUAGAGAUCGGGAGGAACACCAGUGGCGUAGGCGGCUACCUGGACCAGCACUGACACUGAGGCACGAAAGCGUGGGGAGCAAACAGG
rnacentral:rRNA from 1 species